GUGGGGCAAUUCCUGGAGUUAAUGCCCAAAAAUUCAAAGAUGACAACACUAUGUGGAAGGAACGCGUAGCGCAUUACAAGCGGAUAAUUCCACCACUUGCACAAGGCCGAUACCGAAACGUUAUGGACAUGAAUGCCAACUUGGGAGGCUUUGCAGCUGCGCUGGUGAAGUAUCCAGUGUGGGUGAUGAAUGUGGUUCCGGCUAA
rnacentral:misc_RNA from 1 species